CAGUGAGUCUAAUAAUAGAAGCGUUAGCAGUGUGGACGAGCUGAACCUGGGUCGUUUGUGUAACCAGCGAGGAUGAUUAACUGGCGGGCUUUGGAAAAUGUUCCCAUAUUGCUCUACAUCCUGGCGGCGAAGACCAUCCUCCUGUGUCUCGCCUUCGCCGGGGCCAAACUGUACCAGCAGAAGAAAGCCGAGGCCGCCCUGAAACAGCAGGUCGAGCUGAGGAGGAAACUCGCCCGACAGACUCAGGAGCUCAUCGACAACAAGAAGGACGACUGAACCCGCGAAAGCAGAAGGAAGGACGUCCGACCUCACCAGCCAUGCAGCAUAUCAGCAAAAUGAAAGCCAGCCGUAAACAGCAGAACCGCGACCCAGAUCAGUCACACAGCAACAGAAAAUCAUAACCACUUAUCUGGAUGCACAUCGCCGUGUCGCACCACUCCCUUACAGAAACAGCGAAGCGACCGGACAGAUCCGCAGACGUUCAGCUUCCCUAAAGCUAAUAAUGUGCCUUAAUACAUGUUUACUGUAAUGUUUUAUUUAUUAUUUAUAAUGUAUGUAUAUUAAAAAACACAUUUUUACAGUUA